rnacentral:tRNA from 1 species
GGAGAGAUGGGUGAGUGGCUUAAACCAACAGUUUACUAAACUGUCGUCCCUUAAAAGGACCGCGAGUUCGAAUCUCGCUCUCUCCGCCA